rnacentral:rRNA from 1 species
UCUGCUGACUAUAGCAAGGAGGUCACACCUGUUCCCAUGCCGAACACAGAAGUUAAGCUCCUUAGCGUCGAUGGUAGUCGAA